AGCAUCCCAGGGUGUCAGCUUCCACAACAUUACUGGGGAGUUGAUUCCAGACCCUCGCAAGGUUAUAAAAGUUUCAUCAAAAGGCUGUUGUCUCCAGAUCUUAAGACUGCUGUUCAAACAUACAGGCUUCACUACAAAAACAGUAGACAUGACCCAGAUGACCAAAGCAGUUCCUGUGACUUCACCAUCACUCUCUACCAGCAUCACAGAGGCAGGAACUGAAAACGCACAAGAGGAAUUCCUAAAACACAAAUUAGUUACUUUUCUCAAUCAUGGGGAGAAAUAACUGAGAGUGCCAACUAAAAACUCUCUGCCAGUCGACAGCUUGUGUAAAGCCUCUGUAACUAGCACAAGUUUUUUUGUUUUUGUUUCCUCAAACGCUCAUUACACCUUGUUAUUCUAACUGAUGUUUCCCGAUUUCUAAAUUGGGCAUCAUUUUAUAAGACGGAUCUUGCUGAAAAACUGGCAAAAAAAAAAAAAAAUCACAAAAGUGAAAUGGCAUCCAUCUGUGUCUGAAUCAUUUUCAGUUUUACACGGGAAAUAUUCCUGCUACUGAAACUACCUUUAAUGCAUGUAAACAAUGUGCUGUGUAAAGCAGGAACUCUGGUGUAUUUUAUUAUAAAACACAAGCCAUCAAAAUGCUGUUAAUCAAUACACCAGCACAGCGUAGUUACCUGCACAGAAGCGAUGGAGUUGUAGCAGUGUUAUUCCAAUAUUGACGAUUAGCUUGCAGUAUUGAGCAGCGUACAGAGAAUAACAUUGUUCUUAGUUGUAGACUAUGGCUCUGUGUAACAUGAUGGUUUGUGAUGGGUUACUGUAGUGCCUGUUUACAGAGGCAUUAAAACAGAUUCUGCCCAAUUUCACUUUGUUUCUUUUUUCUAUUAGCUCUUAAUUCAAUUCAUAUCCAUUCCAUUAGAGGUGCUGGUUAUAAAACACUGCUGUGUUUUUUUUAUUUAUGUAUUUAUAUAUUUAUCCACUUCUAAUUACUUUGCUCCUACAAAACAUAAUGAAUUGUGAAGUUUAGAAUUAAAAAUCCCAUGCUUGUGAGUAACAGAUGGGCAGACAGAUUUAGGUGAGAAACAAGGUCAAUGCAAGUAAUAAUAAUAAGAAACGUUUGCCAGUCAGCUGGGAGUUUAAUGCAGUAGCUAGUGGGGAAGCAGGCAUUGCUUUAUGUGGAGCAUUUCUCAAAUGAAAGAUGCAGAGUAUUUUUUUAAUACAUUUUUUUUUUAGUCUUGUUGAUUGCUAGUGUUUCCAAGGUAACAAUAAAAUAUAAUUUUGAACUUCAAGUUUGACAUUUUCUGUUAAUGUUGAAAAAAGGCUGUCCUAUAUAAUUACACAGAGUAUAUGCAAAUACAUCGUCUCUUCUAGUUACCAGUUUGGGCACACUUACAAAGGUCAGACGGAAGUCUGUGACAUUGUGUUUCACACAGAGAGAAGGGCAUCUCUCUUCAAAGUGUCAUGCAAGUCAGCUGCGACAGCAUCCUGCACAUAAAUGUACAAUCGCAUUCAUUUCAGUGGGAAAAAAAAUAAAUAAAUCCUUUCGAUCACAUUUUGUUAAAUUACAUUUUGAAAACUGUUUACAUGAUCUCUACUACUGGGUACAGGAAAUUGUCCUGACUUUUAAAAGAAACAUAUGCAUUAGAAAGAAUAGCAUAGAUAGGAUACUUAAUAUGGUACAACUAUACAUACAGUGAUUGAAGAGACUAUAGAUUGGUAUAUAAAAUACUAAUUCCAACAUAAUUCGUCCAAGGUUCUGUGCUGUCUGAGAAAGGGAAGCCAUAAAUCUAUUUUGUCUACAAAACCUUGAUCAAAUACUAUGAUCCAGUAUAACACUGUGCACAGUUUUCUCUCUUCUUGCAUUCCUCCAACUACAAUAUACUAUACUGUUUAUUUAUCCACUAGCACUGGUGGAAUUGCUUUUAACGAUAACGAAGCUCAGUGUUUGCCAAUCUCCUGACCAGCAGCCAGCCAUGUGAUGAGGGAUCACACCAGACAUCCUGUCAUCAUAACAAAACCUAACCUUCCUACCAACACUUGAACUUUGAUCCAUCUGCAGUUUGUACUGCAAUCAAAUAAGUGAAACAAAGGGGGGCUGUGCCAGUAUUAUAAUGGAGGCACUGUUUAUUUUGCAAAAUCAGAUUAAUUUGAUAUUUUCAACAAUGAGCUACACAUUAAAAGGGUAACUUUUGAUGUAUCUAUGUAUUUUAUCAUGUUUUUAUAACAUGAAUUGUAUGAUUAUUUAUUUAUUUAUUUAUUUGAUUAACUGAGGUUUAUGUCAAAGCAUUAUCUACGACUUCAAAGGAAUUGCUGUGAACCUACUGACUCUUGUAAUGAAGUGUUACCUAGAUUGCAAACAGGCUGGCAUUUCCAAAAUAGCAUCUGGCCAGGGAACUCUACCACACGAGCUGAAGAAGCAUCUCCACCAGUAGACCGUGCCCCUUAGUUUGUUAUCAGAAUCACAUUCCACCACAGCAAUGGACACUUAUCUAGGAAGAAAGACUCUACACAGAAUUUGCUAACAUGCGAUAUAUGUACUGUUUCAUGAAUCAGGUCAUCUGUUAACCUUUCUUGCCAGACAUGAAGAGGUUGCUGCGGUGUGCUGCCAAUACAUCAGAAAUUCUGUGGCUGUUUUUCCUGCCUCUGGGUCCUGUAGUAUCUUUUCAUUUUCAUAUUGUCUUUUUAUUUCUCAAUACAUUAUUUCAUGCUUUUGCUCGAUUCUCAAACAGGGUUGUGGAGUGCCAAGUAAGGUCAAAAUAAGAUCCUGGAAAUGGGAGUUCAACACUUAUUUUCUCCCGCGGUGUACGUCCUUCCACGGAAUUCCUUUUGGAAUCAAAGGACAUGCCUUGCGUUUCCAAAGGAAAGGUCUGAACUUCAGUGCAGGAAGAGUGUAACUGUUAAAAAGAAAUGCAGGAUGCUAGGGCUCGGUGUUGCGCUGAGCGAAUUCCGUGCUGAGAUACAAGUGCCCUCAUGCUUGCUUCACAUCCUCCAACCUAUGCAUGUGUUUCUGUAGCCCCUUUAGUAAGGUCCAGCUCAAUGUGUUGUGCGAUGUUUUCAAAAAGUAAAACCUGACUCUGAAGCCUUUGGGGGGGAGGGGGGUUCAAGACAUGUUUUUAUUCCUUAAAGAAAAAGUAGCUGGAAAUGGUUGCUUUUUAAUAUUUCCCUUAUUGGUGUUUAUAUCCUUCUGAAUGGUUCUGUUUUCUGUUGUUCCCAUCAUGAGUUCUUAUCAUUUCUCUAAAUCAGGCUUUACCUGGCUUUGUGUUUGUGUGGAGAAUCCGGGACUAAACAGUUUUUUAAAAAACAAACUUCAGGCUCUUUGACGGAGUGGUUUCUCAAUUGCAGGAUCACUCAGAGUAGUCAAGCUCCUGCAACCAGUUUCAGGAGUUAACUGCAUUGGUUCCUCAUUUACACUGGUUCAUGCAUUAUGGCCAUUCCAUUAAUAACGCUGGAUACAAAUAUCUUCUUGAGAUGACGGGCUGUUUUUCAAAAUGACAAAUCCCUGGAUUCCUCUCCUAGUCAAGCACAUGUCCCAGUGUGUAAUAAAUGCUGCACCUGCCCUAUCUGAAAUAAGGAAGCCAUUCCUUCAGACAGUCAAAUGCAUUACCAGGAAAUGUAUAAUUCAAGGGUCAUGCAUCAUGUCUGGUUUAAAAAAAAAAAAAAAAAAGUAUACCACUAAAACUACCACCAGAUAAUACAAAUAAAAUAACUGUACUGCCAACAAGGUCUACGGCUAUGGCCAAAUUUUCUACAUCUCCUAUCAUUUUAGGACUGAGACUAAAAACUAUAUGAACAAAAUGUAUUCAAAGACACUACAAAAUGAUAAUGCAAGAGUCUACCGGAAGCCAUGAUAGUAGUACAUCAUUUCAUGUCAGAUUUCGAAAUGACACAUUUUUCCCAGUUUGUCAGAUUUUCAUGAAGUAUAUGGAAAACUACAAAGCUGUAUGUAAUUAAAUAUGUUAACGUAACAUUAUUCAGCAGGUUUCAUUCGACGUUGCAAAUGCCAAAUGUUUGGUUAUAGCUGUGGGUAAAAUUGAACAACUUUGGGAAACUCUGCAGCUUUAGGCAACGGUAGGAAAUCUAUUUCGAAGUGUGUCAGCUGGUCCCUUUAAGUGGAAACCAAAACUAGUCCAAAUCUAAAAAUAAUAAAACGGAUUAAAAAAAAGAAAUAUAGGUGUAUGAAAUGGCUUGUGUAGAACACAGAGAUGAAGGUAAACUUGCCCAGAAGCACUGAGGUUGGCUUGCAAUGUAUUUGUAAGCAUUGAUGGGGAAUCAGUCUUGUUUGGAGGAUCCAGAAAUCGUCUGGAGUCUGUCUCUGGUCUCUCAAGUGCUUUCAUAUGACAGAUUCCUUUUCAAGUGCCUCUCAUUACAGCUGGUGACCUCACUCAGAGUAUGCGCAAGAUUAAUACUAUAGUAAUUAAAGCUGCAGUACCGCUUACAAACAGCACAUCACUUACUGAUGAAACUGCAAAGACAUAUGCACCAAAAACAAGUUUUGCAAUGCAAUUUACAUGCUUGCUUGUUUUGUUCAGAAUUUAUUUAUUUAUUUUUUUUAACAGGAACUUUGGCUCAGGGAGUUCUUAAUAAGGACCGACUGGCUGAACAGCAUCAUCUUUUUAAUUGAGAGGAUCCAGUUUGUGUCCAAAUCUACACCCUGAGAC